rnacentral:rRNA from 1 species
GACGAACGCUGGCAGCGUGCUUAACACAUGCAAGUCGAACGCUGAAGCUUGGUGCUUGCACUGGGUGGAUGAGUGGCGAACGGGUGAGUAAUACGUGAGUAACCUGCCCUUGACUCUGGGAUAAGCCUGGGAAACUGGGUCUAAUACUGGAUAUGACAUGCCACUGCAUGGUGGUGUGUGGAAAGGGUUUUACUGGUUUUGGAUGGGCUCACGGCCUAUCAGCUUGUUGGUGGGGUAAUGGCCUACCAAGGCGACGACGGGUAGCCGGCCUGAGAGGGUGACCGGCCACACUGGGACUGAGACACGGCCCAGACUCCUACGGGAGGCAGCAGUGGGGAAUAUUGCACAAUGGGCGGAAGCCUGAUGCAGCGACGCCGCGUGAGGGAUGACGGCCUUCGGGUUGUAAACCUCUUUCAGCACGGAAGAAGCGAGAGUGACGGUACGUGCAGAAGAAGCGCCGGCUAACUACGUG